rnacentral:rRNA from 1 species
GACAGAGGGUGCAAACGUUGUUCGGAAUUACUGGGCGUAAAGCGCGUGUAGGCGGCUCUGCAAGUCGGAUGUGAAAUCCCACGGCUCAACCAUGGAAGUGCAUUCGAAACUGCAGGGCUAGAGUCCUGGAGAGGAAGGCGGAAUGCUUGGUGUAGAGGUGAAAUUCGUAGAUAUCAAGCGGAACACCGGUGGCGAAGGCGGCCUUCUGGACAGUGACUGACGCUGAGACGCGAAAGCGUGGGGAGCAAACAGG